ACCUUCACACCUGCACCAGAUUACUGCAAUCACCACCUGAAUGUAAGCCCUGCUGUGAGGCUUCUCCAGUGCCAGAUUGUUCCCGUAUCUGAUGUGUGCCUCCACGAGCCCCCCAGUGCUGCCGCCCCAUCUCUGCCACGCUGCCUGGAUUCACUCACCAGCCUUCUCCUCAAGCCCUCACGUCACCAGCCUUCACCUCUCCUCAGACCCUAGAUCCCUUCCCUCCACCCUUUGUUCCCGUCAAUAAAUUCACUUAGCUGCUUCA